AUGACACUAGAAGCCAUGGCAGUCAGGGAAUCGAUGGCACUAGCAGAGGAUCUCCAAUUGCAAGCUAUUCACGUGGCGACUGACUGCAUGGACAUGGUGAACGAUAUCAAGCAGAAGAGUAGCCCGGGCUAUGGGGCCAUUAUACAAGAGAUUAUAGAAUACUCUAGUAGUUUUAACUUAUGUACUUUUGUUCAUGAGUUUAGGAGCUCAAAUUUCGAAGCUCACAAUCUAGCGAAGCGUGCUUUGGGACCGGGGAUAGGUCCCUAUGUCUGGUUAGGCCACCCCGGUGGUCUUAAUUUCGCCCCUGUAAACAUUGUGACGGUCUAA
rnacentral:rRNA from 1 species